rnacentral:rRNA from 1 species
GGGCGUCGAACGUAAGAUGACUGUAGGUGAAAGCUUACAUCUCUUCGGAGCAUUUUACGAGGUGCUGCAUGGUUGUCGUCAGCUCGUGCCGUGAGGUGUCGGGUUAAGUCCCAUAACGAGCGCAACCCUACCUUUAGUUGCCAUCAGGUAAUGCUGGGGACUCUAAAGGAACUGCCUACGCAAGUAGUGAGGAAGCGGGGAUGACGUCAAAUCAGCACGGCCCUUACGUCCAGGGCUACACACGUGCUACAAUGGCCGAUACAGAGGGCAGCUACCUGGUGACAGGAUGCAAAUCUCCAAAGUCGGUCUCAGUUCGGAUCGGAGUCUGCAACCCGACUCCGUGAAGUUGGAUUCGCUAGUAAUCGCGCAUCAGCCAUGGCGCGGUGAAUACGUUCCCGGGCCUU